AUUAUUGAUUGGAUCCAGAGACAUAGACUUGAAUAACCUAAUCGAUAUUUUCCUCCUUUUGAUCGUCGUCUACCUAGAACACCUUUCAUAAGUUUUCUUUUCUUUGUACUUCUUCUCUCGAGAAUCUCUCCCUCUUCAUGUGACGAGUUUGAAGUGGUGGUUGCGUGCAAAUUCCACCUGAUGUAACAGAAGAUCGCGGGUGAGAGUUUUUGAGAAGAUAAUGGAUAAGCGGCGUUUUGGGUUUGUAGAUUAGAAGGUAAAUCUUUUUUUUUUUUUUUUUCAUAACCUGUUAUAUGUAAGUUUUUUUGGUUCAGUAUAAUUGAUACGAAUUAAUCGAAUUCCACUUGAUUUGAGGGCGAGAGAGAGAGAGAGAGAGAGUUUGAAGAGACUGAGUUGACUGAGACUGGAAACAAAGAAGAGAUGCAGUGUCGGUGGUGUUGUAGAGGAAGAAGAAAGCAACUACGGUGACGAUAAAGAGAGAGAGAAGACAGCAAGUCGAGAAAUCUAGGGUUUUGGGUUCAUUGAUUCGUCGUCGGAUCUAUUGAUGAGUUGGUAAUUCUAUGAUCUGAGAUUUCGGCAGCUUGGCAGGAGACGGCGCCGCACGAUCUUGAAUCAACAUCGGAUCAAAGAGGGAGCCCAGAACUCUUAAUAAAACUUCUAAUUCAGAACCUGAUUUUUGUGAUCUGUUCCUCAAAAUUUGAGAUUUGUGUAUUGUUGUCUGCAAGUGAAUGAUGUAAUGCAGUUGUUGUUGGUUGGAACUAACUUGAAUGCAAUGCAAAAGAGCUCGGAUUUAGAAAGCAGAGUCUAUGAGAGCUGUGACGUCAAAUGCAAAUUGCAAAAUAUCAUCUUUUAUCUUUUCAGGAGCUGAGUAGUUAUUUGGAAGACAAUACAACCAGAUUUGUUAUAGUUGAUCAGAGCACUGAUGGGGACUUCUUACGAAUUGAUUAUCAACAUCAGUCUUUUAACAAGAUUGUUUCCUCACUAAUUCAGAUGAGAGGAUACAAAUUUGGUAGUUACAGAAGUGGUUUCAAAAUUUGGAGCUCAUGUUUAGUGACUUAUACGAAGUGGCUUGAGAACUUAUGGUGAGAAGAUUUUCAGAUCAAAGCUUGAGCUAAUGUGAUGGAAGAAA